UUAGGAUGCAUGACAUGGGGACCUAUUGUAGACUAGGGGAAGGGGUGAAUAUUGUGACAAUGUGUUUCAGUCUGACGUUUGAGCAGAGCCUGGGUAAGAGGGUAGGAGUGGUGAAUGGGAGAAGAACAUUCUAGAUGGAAGGAACUGUGAGUGGCCAGGCCCUGAGGACGGAAGGCCAUUGGCAAGUUCCCAGAGGCCCAAAUGCCUGGGGAGUGGUGAGCAGAAAGGAAGGUGGCAGAGACAAAGCUGGAACAGCAGAUGGGCAGACCUUCGUUACCCUCAUGCCCGGCUCACCUCACUAUGGCUGUCUGGAACACACGCCCCUGUAAACUGUCAAUGAGACCCCCCUGGCCUUGUCAUCUUUGAGUUGGGGCAGAUAUUUGAACAAAAAGUUGCUGGCAACUGUUUCCCUUUGCCUGAGGGCAUUCUCUGGCCCAUGGAGUCUGCUCUGCCUGGGCAUGCAACAGCCUCAGAGUACUGGGAAGAUGCUGCCAUGAAGGAGCGUCCUCAGUGAGACCCAGAGGAAUUCUCUCAUCCAUGGAUGGGACGGCAGUGAGGUGCACAUUCCAGAGGAUCUCUUACAGUUUCCUAAGGCCAUAAGACUGUAGCCAUUCAAGGGCAAAUUACUUCAUAAAGCACCUUUUAUCAUCUUCCUUCCCUUCCUUUUCUCACUUCCCCUUUCUCUCAUAGUAUCUCCUGGGUUCACCUUCCAAAUAAACUCUGAGGACUCAAAUCUUUAUCUCAGGGUCUGC